rnacentral:lncRNA from 1 species
UUUUUUGAGAGGAAGAUGAGGUAAGUGAGGCACUUGCUAUUAAAAUAUUAAAUUAUGGAUACAUAGUAUAUGGUCUGAGAUGACCCAGAAAUUAAAUAGAAAGUGGGGGCUACAUGAUGUUGAGAGAGAGGAGCACGAGGAUAGAGACCAAAAGCACCCUCUCUUGGUGCACGCUGAUGACCUUUGGAUUUAAGGGAGAUUUCGGAAUGCUGAAUGGAGUGCCCAGUCAACUGGAUUAAGGCUAGCCGACAAUGCUAUCACUACUUUUCUGCAGAGUGAUGUUGAAUUAAAUAUUUCAAGAGAUAGUUAAGCAAAUAGUCUCCUUAAAGUCCAUGCAACACAAAUUUUCUUAAAUAAAUCAUAAAUAUUAUAUAGAUACUAAGAAACAACAUCUCCCGUGUCCAAUUUGCAAAGAAGCUUGCCCUUGUCUUAGCCCUCCCUCGGACCAAUUCUCCAAGCUUUGUCUUUUUCAGGUUUAAGUUACCGACUCUAACCAUGGCGCAGCAAAGGUUUUACCAUAUGGUAGAGCAUAAAGAUUCCAUGGAGAAUAGUUAGUCUCGAGCAUUUAUUGCAUGUAAUACCCUUAUUAAACUUUUAAUGCUUUGUCACUGUCCCAUUAGAUUCACAAGCGCUGUACCAGACUUGCUCCAUUCUGUAUAGCAUAUUAGCCUUGUCAUACAAACAAAUCUUAACCACCCAUUUGAUGACAAAAGAAGAACUAGGGUACUACAUGGUCAGACGAUAGAUUGGAACAUGGAUAGCCCAACAAGCUAGUUUUCUUCUCUUUCUACUUUUCCCUCUUGUGAAAGGUGGACGAAGAUCCAUCAGAACGCUAUAUUAAAUUUGUAAUCGAAUAUAGAUACUCCGAAUCAAAUAAAAACACUCUUUGAUCUUA